rnacentral:rRNA from 1 species
GACGUAGGAUGCAAGCGUUGUCCGGAUUUAUUGGGCGUAAAGAGUUCGUAGGCGGUUCGUUAAGUCUGAUGUUAAAGACUGGGGCUCAACCCCGGGAGUGCAUUGGAUACUGGCGGACUGGAGUGUGGUAGAGGCUAGUGGAAUUCCCAGUGUAGCGGUGAAAUGCGUAGAUAUUGGGAAGAACACCGGUGGUGUAGACGGCUCUCUGGACCAUAACUGACGCUGAGACACGAAAGCGUGGGUAGCAAACAGG